rnacentral:rRNA from 1 species
UACGAGAGGCCCAAACGUUAUUCGGAAUUACUGGGCUUAAAGAGUUCGUAGGCGGCAUUGCAAGUAGGGUGUGAAAGCCCUCGGCUCAACCGAGGAAUUGCGCUCUAAACUGCAGUGCUCGAGGAAGCUAGAGGUGAGCAGAACAGAUGGUGGAGCGGUGAAAUGCGUUGAUAUCAUCUGGAAUACCGGAGGCGAAGGCGGCUCACUGGGGCUUUUCUGACGCUGAGGAACGAAAGCCAGGGGAGCAAACGGG